rnacentral:rRNA from 1 species
GCGAACAGGAUUAGAUACCCUGGUAGUCCACGCCGUAAACGGUGGAUGCUGGAUGUGGGGACCAUUCCACGGUCUCCGUGUCGGAGCCAACGCGUUAAGCAUCCCGCCUGGGGAGUACGGCCGCAAGGCUAAAACUCAAAGAAAUUGACGGGGGCCCGCACAAGCGGCGGAGCAUGCGGAUUAAUUCGAUGCAACGCGAAGAACCUUACCUGGGCUUGACAUGUUCCCGACAGCCGUAGAGAUACGGUCUCCCUUCGGGGCGGGUUCACAGGUGGUGCAUGGUCGUCGUCAGCUCGUGUCGUGAGAUGUUGGGUUAAGUCCCGCAACGAGCGCAACCCUCGCCCUGUGUUGCCAGCACGUCGUGGUGGGAACUCACGGGGGACCGCCGGGGUCAACUCGGAGGAAGGUGGGGAUGACGUCAGAUCAUCAUGCCCCUUACGUCCAGGGCUUCACGCAUGCUACAAUGGCCGGUACAACGGGAUGCGACACUGUGAGGUGGAGCGGAUCCCUUAAAACCGGUCUCAGUUCGGAUUGGAGUCUGCAACCCGACUCCAUGAAGGCGGAGUCGCUAGUAAUCGCGGAUCAGCAACGCCGCGGUGAAUGCGUUCCCGGGCCUUGUACACACCGCCCGUCAAGUCAUGAAAGUGGGUAGCACCCGAAGCCGGUGGCCUAACCCCUUUGGGAGGAGCCGUCUAAGGUGAGACUCGUGAUUGGGACUAAGUCGUAACAAGGUAGCCGUACCGGAAGGUGCGGCUG